rnacentral:rRNA from 1 species
CGUGUAGGCGGUCUUGUAAGUCGGGCGUGAAAGCCUCUGGCUCAACCAGAGAUCUGCGCUCGAUACUGCGAGGCUUGAGUGCAGGAGAGGAAAGCGGAAUUCCUGGUGUAGCGGUGAAAUGCGUAGAUAUCAGGAAGAACACCAGUGGCGAAGGCGGCUUUCUGGUCUGUCACUGACGCUGAGGCGCGAAAGCCAGGGGAGCGAACGGGAUUAGAUACCCCGGUAGUCCUGGCCGUAAACGUUGGGCACUAGGUGUAGGAGGUAUCGACCCCUUCUGUGCCGCAGCUAACGCAUUAAGUGCCCCGCCUGGGGAGUACGACCGCAAGGUUGAA